CCACACGUACCGAUGCCCUGGAGCAGGGGGGUGGCUCUUUGACCCAUCUCUGGGCUGGGUUGUGCACCCCAGGAACCCUGAGGGGUUUCUUGGAAGCAGCAAGUGAGUUUGGGCGGCAGGAGGGCAUGAGUAACCAGGGAGGUGGCUGUGUGUCCCUGACUCAGUGGCAGCUGCCUCUGGGGCACGUCUGACGUGGGGAACGGGACGGGUCCCAGCACCGAGUGGGUCGGGCAGAUCUGCCUCUGAGCUACGUCAGCAGCGGAAACGCGGGGAGAAUUACACAGGUAACAGCCAAGAAAUGAGAUUCCGUGGCUAAAGGUGCCGAGGUUUUACCAGCCACUAGAAAAGAGGAAGGGCAGAGAAAGUGAAGCCUCCCAGACCCCACCAUCCUCUUCCUCCAGCCGACCUCAUCGGUGACCUCGGUCAGUGACAAACACGAUCCCGGCCCUGCCCGUCCUUAAUUAACUUCCUUCUGGCCAUCCCACAGUUCGGGAGAGUAUGAUUCACGCUUAACUCGAGGAGUUGUGUGCUGCAAGAUAAAAAUGGGUUUAUUGGGAACAUCAUCAGAGAGGAGUGAGACCUCUGAGGGCACUCGGCAGAGGGUCAGACUGGCCAGACUCGGGGGAGAGGCAGGAAGCGUUUCUGGGCGAGUAGCUGUGAAAUCCUGGGCCUUUCUGUCUCCGUGGAGUCAGCCUGGCUGCCUUCUGGGAAGAGAGAGCUGAUGAG